UCCUUUCUUUCUCCCUGCUUUGUUUUUUAAAGUGUUCCACAUGGUCUUACUACGUUGCUUAGGCUGGGCUUUUAUUUGCUCUUCUCGGGCAUCGGCUUCCAAGGGUGCUGAGAGCAUAGGCCUGCACUUCCAGGCAGCUUCUGACUCCCUGGGUUACAAGAUAGCUUGUUCCCCUACUUGCGCCAAUAUGAAUUCCGGACAAAGGAGUCAUGUAAUCUUGUUCCAGUCUGUAACACCCUGUGGCACAUUUCUGCAUGUCUGAAAUUUCUGCUUCCUACAUUGCAAUUAUUCUUAGGUCAAAUGAACUUAGUGUCUAAAAAACUUGCAUCUCACUAUCUCCUAAGCGUCUCUCUGCACUUACACAAAACACAGACUGUGUAUACCACCUAGGCAGGGUGCAGGAAAACCGAGAUGAUCCUCAUUGUAUCCAAUGAGCUAUUGUGGUCUACUGAUCCAGCUGCACUGCAUCACCAGCGCACUUUCUUCUUUAAUGUCCGGCGGUGCAGUGUAGCCUCAUAGCAGAGCAGAGUUCCUGGAGUCUCUGUAGCCACAGCCGGGGGCAUGGAACCUUGUUGCCAACAAAACUGGGAGGCAACGUAAGACCUAGGCCUGCUACACAUGUGCUUCUGAAAAUUAGAUGCCACCAGCUCUAAUAACCACAUGGCCCCGAUUUGCUCUGAUACAGCCAGAAUGACAGAGAAUCGCCAGAGUUUUCAGGGACUGGCAGUGAUGGUGUCACAUGUGCUUUGUGGCCUCAGAACUGUGUGGUCAAAUCGGAAACACAGUGAGUAAACAAGCCCCUGUCAACACACACGCACACGCACACCUACACCGAGGAGAUUGCAUAGAUACUAUAUGAAAUGUGCCAUGUUUCCCAGGCGCAUACAUGUGGGGCGUGAAUCACUACACCAUUCUUUUUAUGGCUGAAUAAGACUCCAUUGUAGAGAUGUUCCACAUUUCCUAUCCGUUCAUCUCUUACCGGGUGUUUGAGAUGUCUCCAUAUUUGGUUAUGUCUCAGUUUUUGUGUCUGGUUGGUUUCCAGUUCUCAGCUGUACACUUAGGAGUGGACUGCUGAGGAUUAUUGAAGCUACUUGUCUAACUUUUGCGAGAACUGUCAACCUGCCUUCCACGCCAGCCGCACCAUUUUGCGACUCCCACUGGCAAGGUAUGAGGGUUCCGGUUCUCCACACCACUGCCACCACUUGUCAUUGUCUAGUUUCUUUCCAAGUUUGUGUUUUAUAGUGAUCCUAAGGAGUGUGCAGUACUGUUUCAUGGUCGUUGUCCUUCUUGUUGUUUGUGGGUUUGUGUGUUUGCAGUACUGGAGGUUCAACCCUGGGCCUUCUCACUCAGCAACAUCCCUAGCCUGGCCCCCUUUUCUUCUUUUUCUGUUUUGAGUCAGAGUCCCCCUAAGUCACACAGACAACAGGCUGGCCCUGAACUGAAGGUCCUCCUCCCGCAGCCUUUCAGAGUGCUGGGAAACAGCCCGGUGUCCCCACUCAUAGCCAUCACCCUGGGUAUGAUGUGCAUUUCCCGGGGGAGAAUGAUACUGAACACCCUUCCAGGAGCUCUGGGGCAUUUGUAAACCUUCUUAUCUACAUGUCAGACAUUUUUUCACUUAAAAAUUGGAUUAUGUGUCUUUUAAUUAUUGUGCUGUAACAGUCCCUCACAUAUUCUGGAUGUACCAUUCUCUUAUCAGAUUUGAAGGUAUUUUCAUUCAUCCUGCGGGGUGCUGUUCACUUUCAUAAUCAUACCGUUGGAAGCACGAAAGUUUUUCACUUUGGUCAAGAGCUGUUUAUCCAUUUUUACUUUUUGAUGUCUGUGAUAUUGUAUUAUGCCCAAGAAGACUACGAAGAUUUAUGAGGGAUCAGAUUCAGGACCCUGCACUCGCAAGGCAGGCACGGUGCCGCUGAGGUACAUCCCCCGCCCCAACACCGUAACAUUUUUGCAGCUUUCUUGUUGGAUGGCACUUGGCAACAGCAUUCACCACAUUUCUGAGCACACCUCGUCAAGGCUUCUCACAAAAGAAGACUUCCAGAACUGCUUCAGAACAUGGCAGCAAGGAUGGGAUAAGUGUGUUUGAAGUGAGCAGGAGUACUCUGAGGGAAAUGAACGGCAAUGUGUUCUUACUGUAAGAAGUUUUUAAAAUUUAAAAAAUUGCUAUGUAUUUGUCCACCCUGUAUAUAUCUAUGGUUUGUUUUGAGCAUUGCAGUGGUCACAUUUAGGCAUGUGAUGCAUUUUGGUUUCAGUAUGUGGUGUAAGCAGUGUUCUAACUUGGUUCUUUUGCAUGUGGCUAUGUACUUGCCCAAGCACCACCUUAGAGAGAGAAGAUGCCUUUCCUCAUAGAAUUGUUAUGUCACCCUCAUUGAAAAACCAAGCGAUUUUAAGCAAAAACUUCACUUCUGGGCUUUCAGUGUUAUUCCACUGACACAUGUGUUCAACCUUCUGCCAGAACCACCACUAUCCUGACCACUGUAGAAGUGUAGUGAGUUGUCAAAUCAGAGAGUAGUACUUCCCUUAAAAGAGUGGCUUUUCAAGAUUUUUAAAAUCUAUUUUGGACCUCUGGAAUUUCAAGAUACAUUUUAGGAUGACCUCGUCCAUUCCCGUCCUAAGUUCCAAGUUUCAUUGAAUCUGCAGGCAUGUGGAGGUCCAUUGUGAUCUUAACCACAUCUAGUCUUCCUAUCCAUGAGGAGUAGAUGUCUCUCCAUCUUUUUAUCUUUUUAUGUUUUAUGAUUUUAAGAAGGUUUUGCAGUUUUUAUCACAGGUUUCCACUUCUCGCUUUUAAUUUAUUCCAGAGCACUCGUUUUCAUUUUUGAAAGUACUGUAAGUGGGAUUACUGAAUUUAUUGUUGGAUUGUUCAUUGCUAGUGCCUAGAGACACAACUGACUUCUGCAUAGCGAUCUGUGAUCCUGCAACCUUCCUGAAGCCACCUGUUUUAUAUAUAUUUUGGGAGGGAUUCCUUAAAAAUCAAUAAAUCUUCACACAAAUA